rnacentral:rRNA from 1 species
UAGGGAAUCUUCGGCAAUGGACGAAAGUCUGACCGAGCAACGCCGCGUGAGUGAAGAAGGUUUUCGGAUCGUAAAACUCUGUUGUUAGAGAAGAACAAGGACGUUAGUAACUGAACGUCCCCUGACGGUAUCUAACCAGAAAGCCACGGCUAACUACGUGCCAGCAGCCGCGGUAAUACGUAGGUGGCAAGCGUUGUCCGGAUUUGUUGGGCGUAAAGCGAGCGCAGGCGGUUUCUUAAGUCUGAUGUGAAAGCCCCCGGCUCAACCGGGGAGGGUCAAUGGAAGCUGGGAGACUGGAGUGCAGGAGAGGAGAGUGGAAUUCCAUGUGUAGCGGUGAAAUGCGUAGAUAUAUGGAGGAACACCAGUGGCGAAGGCGGCUCGCUGGUCUGUAACUGACGCUGAGGCUCGAAAGCGUGGGGAGCAAACAGG